GACGGGGGGGCAAGUGUUCUUCGGAAUGACUGGGCGUAAAGGGCGCGUAGGCGGAUGGCUUUGUCGGGCGUGAAAUUCCAGGGCUUAACCUUGGGGCUGCGUUCGAGACGGGUUGUCUUGAGUGGGGAAGAGGGUCGUGGAAUUCCCAGUGUAGAGGUGAAAUUCGUAGAUAUUGGGAAGAACACCGGUGGCGAAGGCGGCGACCUGGUCCUUUACUGACGCUGAGGCGCGAAAGCGUGGGGAGCAAACAGG
rnacentral:rRNA from 1 species